CCGGGGGGCGCGCGUUAAAAAAUAAGGAUGACAAAUAAAAUCCUGAAAAGCGUGCCGCGGGGGGGUGUUACGGUGUCGUGCGGCCUCCCGUCGCGCCUCGCUGAAAAUUUCUGCUGCGGAACCGGCUAGGCUGGGAAGGACCUGCGAGAACACCGGCCCCAACCAUCUUUCUGCGGAAAUGCGAGCGUGGUGCUUGCCGGCCCUUUUUUACAGCGUUACGAUGUGCAGAAAUACGAUGAGUGAGGUUCUGGAGAUACGUAGCACUGCCCAUGUCUUUGCCCACCUACGCCCUCCUCUGCUUUCUUCAUCCAUCACGUUUGUGCAUCGUGACACUCCCAGGCUCUAGAGGAAGCUCUUGAUUAGGGACUGCUGCCCUCACUUCCUGCUGUAUCCUCCCCGAAACCUACUAGUUGUUCCAUGAGGGGUUCUUAUUCCAGCUUCCAAUGCCACGCCUGCCUUUUUAUGUUUGUUGUGAUCUCCCAUGAUGGGCAUGUUCUGUUUAUGUUAUGAACAUACCUUUCCCGUUUGUGCACUUGCAACACUACCUGAAAUUUGAAAACACCCUAUCAUGUAUCUGUUGUAGCCACAGAUGAGAGUAGGCUGUAUUGAUCUAAAUGUUGGUGUAAACAUUUAGAAACACUUUGGGCCAAAAGUAGUAGGAUUAAAUCUUAUUCUUCCAGAAAACAGAGAUGUGCAGUGUUCAGAGAAGGAUACUGGUUUCAAAAACCUUCUUUGGAAUACCAAACACACUAAACAACGUGGAAAUCAGUGAGCUGAAUUUGCCCCAAAACCGCAUGAAAAUGACUACACAAUUCUACAACAGAAGCAUGGUCACUGCCAGCCACAGCUAUCACAGAGGCCUGUGCUGCUGAGGAACGUGUCUGUAAGGCUCUACAAACUGCUGUGCUCUAUUCAUACUUCUUGGAAUGAUCAGUAGGAUGUCUGAAUUUCCUUCUCUGCCUCUCUUCCUUCUCCCCAUGACAGGUUUGAUUUUUGAGUUCUGUAUUUUGGGGUUCUGUUCUGUAUUAUUAAAAAAAAAAAAAAAAAAAAAAAAAAAAAAAAAAGUAGUACAUAAACUUAAUGCAGCACAACUGGGUAAGUAAGCUCCAGGAGUAGCUAGUACAAGCUCAAGGAGUAGCUAAGGUGAAAAUACCACAGCUGAACACUUUGAGUAGCAAGUGGACGAUAUGUUUUCUCUUCUUUUUUUUUCCCAACUUUAAUACUAAGGAGUCACAUACUUAUAAAGAAACUUCACUCAACCCAAAUCCUUUUAAGAACAAACAGACCUAUUUAUUUUUAUAGCUUGGAACCAAUCUGCCCUUUAAACACUAGGCACAAGGCAAAUGGGCAUUUUAAAGUUUCCAGUAGUUACUUUUCUCUGAUGAAGAGACUUCUGUGUUAAAAGUAAUUAAAGAUGUAUGAAAAAUUCAAGCAGUAUAAAUUCAGGCAGGUAGGAAACUGAAUUCUCUAAGAUGAGAAAUACUGAAACCCAAAGAGCAUUGAAAGACUGUCAGAGCUAGAUGAGAAGUAGAGACGGUACGCAAGAAGGAUGGAAAACAAGCUGGAAAAAGCACGCUACGUGCAAAGAGGAAUAAAGAGAAAUUGUAACUAAUGUGCUUCUGAAGCAA